AGACACACUAAAGUAAAGGGGGAUUGAGUUUUGGACGAAGUUGAAACAAACAAACAAGUACGAAAAACUAGAUAGAUUGUAAAACAAAUUUGAGAAAUAAGAUGAUGGAUGGGAUAGCUAGAGGCUUUUUCUCCACACAUGACAUGUAUGCAAAUAACUCGAUUUCCAGUUACUACUUUAUUAAAUUAUGAACAACAAUGCUCCAAAUUAACCGUGACAUCACUAGUUAACUCUCAGAUUUUCCUUGUUUUAUUGGAUUGGAUGACAUCAUUCUACAACCCAAAACAUUCUUCAAAAGUUCCCUACAUGACAUCAUAAUAGAGAUACAAUCAAAGAUCAUUACAUUUAAUGAAAAUCAUAAGCAUUGACAAAGCACUUGCAACUAUGACAUCAUAUCGCUUAUGCUAGGAAUUGAACUUAACACGAUCGUUUAUAAGCGACCUUCACUACAUGUGAAUAUAAGUUUGUAACGAUUAUGUGAAACUUCCUUAUAUUCUAGCAACGGAUUUAUGCAUGCCAAUUAAGUGUCGACCCUUAAUUAACAAAUACAAAAUAAGUUAUAAAUCAAAUAGUUAAGCCAAUUGCAUUCACGAUUCAAGAGUUCAUAACUGGAAUUUAUCAAAUUAUAUUGCACACAUAAUCAUGGCUUUGAAAUCACCCCUAGCCAAGAGGGGUUUAGCCACUCAUAUUUACAACAAAACGAAAGGAAAUGAAUUUAAACAUUAUACACAAAAGAAAGAAAACACCUAAACGCUCCAACGAUCCAAGUUGGACAGCAAGCACGUCUAAGCACUUUUCUUCCCUUCCUUUGCUACGACACAAGGUUUUGGUGAGUGUUUGAAGGUUUGUUUGUAUGGAGGAAUGGAUGUGAAGAUGAAUGGAUGUGUUUGGAUGAAGGUUGUGUUGAAAUGGGAGUGAAUGAUCUAACCAAGUAUGAACUCCAUUUAUGUUACACACACUUCCUUUUAUAGAGGAAGUGCAAGGCAAAGCAUGGGUAAAAUGGAGUGGUGUUGAAAUGAUUCAAAGGUGAAAGUGGAGUAAUGAUGCAAAACAUGGGUAAAAUGGAGUGGUGUUGAAAUGAUUCAAAGGUGAAAGUGAAGUAAUGAUGCAAAGCAUGAGGGGUAAAAUGGUGUGGUGUUGAAAUGAUUCAAAGGUGAAAGUGAAGUAAUGAUGCAAAGCAUGAGUAAAAUGGAGUGGUGUUGAAAUGAUUCCAAUGUGAAAGUGAAGUAAUGAUGCAAAGCAUGGGUAAAAUGGAGUGGUGUUGAAAUGAUUCAAAGGUGAAAGUGAAGUAAUGAUGCAAAGCAUGAGGGGUAAAAUGGAGUGGUGUUGAAAUGAUUCAAAGGUGAAAGUGAAGUAAUGAUGCAAAGCAUGAGUAAAAUGGAGUGGUGUUGAAAUGAUUCAAAGGUGAAAGUGAAGUAAUGAUGCAAAGCAUGGGUAAAAUGGAGUGGUGUUGAAAUGAGUCAAGGGUUAAGGUGGAGUGAUGAUUGAUGCAAGAAAUUUGGAAUGAUGGAGGGAACAAGGGUGGUGCAAGGUAAUGAGUGAAUGAAAUAGACAAGGAAUGUUGUUGGAACUUAGGGACAUUGAGGAUUAGGAAAGAUUAAAUCAAAAUAAGGUAAUCUUGACUCAUGUUUCUUCUUUGGUUGCUGAGCUCUUUGUCCUUUUUAAAUUAAUUCUUCUUUCUCUUUAACACAUUCCUAGCCUCUUUAGUCUUCAAUUUCGUCCAUCUACUUAGCUCCAAGGAUGUGUUAUUUAUUCCAAGCCCAAAACUGCUCCAAAAGGCUUCAAAAUGCACCUUCUUGCAUACUUUGUCCUUAGAACCUGAAAUUGCACGAAAAUGACUUUAAACACUAAAACAACUAAGGAAUAACAACAUAAAUGCAUGAGAACAAGCUAACUCAGUCGCAUAAAUAUGCUCCUAUCACACACCUCGACCCAGGAUGUCCACUAGGAAUCCGAAUCAAGUUAUGCUGGCCGACACCUGGAAGGUGACGAAGCCAUAAAUUGUGAUGAUGCGGAAAAAUGUGAAUAAAUUUAAAUCUAAGAGUGCCUAAAAACCAGAGUGCGUUGGUGAGCAGGAAUGAACCCACUUCACACGUGACGUUAGAGCAUAAGUAAGUACAGUAUAGUGGAUUGAGAAUAAUACCAUUAAAAGAAAUCUCCAAUACUAAAAUUUGUCAUGAAUCCUCAUCGAUAAGAAAGCUCAGCUAAUAAAACCUGGAGAGUGAAAACAAAACAAGGGUGAGUGGCCCUGGAAAUAAAAUCUUAAUAGAAGUCUUCUAAAACGUUAUAACCCCUCGCUGCAACACCUGUAUAGUUUCCAGAAAAAUCAUACCACGUAUCAAUGUGAAAUCCAAAGUAUAUCAACAGUAAAUCCAUAAAUAUACCACGACACAGCAUCUUAUCAGCAAUAUAAAUAAUCAUGUGAUCAAUAAUCUAUAUUAGCACGUAAGUCGGAGUCACCUAAUGUGACCUGUACGACUGAACCUAUAGCUCAUCAAUCAAUGCUAGCACAUAAGUCGGAGUCACCUAUAGUGACAUGUACGACUCCUCCACAUCUCAUCAAUCAAUGCUAGCACAUAAGUCGGAGUCACCUAUAGUGACUUGUACGACUCAUAUCAGAGUUGCCUAUAUAGCUCAUCUACCAAUUCCUGCACACGAGUCGGAACCACUUAAUGUGGCAUGUACAAUAGGCUGGGUGUAAAUAAAUACACUCAAGUGCUACGAUCACGUGAAGCUGUGCAAAGAUUCGCAAGUCACCUACGAGUCGAAACCACCUAAUGUGGUUUGUACGACAGGCUAACACCUGCCUUGGAUCCAAUGUGAGCGUGUGGUGCAGGAGGUGAAUGAUCACGUGAAGGCUAGGCCCUGCCUCGGGUGGAGCACUAACACCAGGGUGCAAGACAAUGAGCUAUAAAUACAUCUCAACACAAUCAUACUCACUACCAUUAAUAUACUCACUUGAAGCUUAUCGGGCCAUCUGCAGCGUCAUAUGGCAUAACCACUUUAACGUCCCAACAUUCUUAAUCAGAACUAAACCCAGUGAUAGACCAGAAUAAAAUCAUGGUUAAUCUCUACACUGUUAAUCAUCAUAACUUCUUUCCUUAAAGAAACCAAGUACCCUAUUAAAUUUGGAUUGUUUUAUGACUGCAUAUAAUUGUCUUGUUAGACUGCCUAUGUACCAUCAAAUGGGAUCAAACCAUUCGUAGUUCAACUUAGUACGUCAAAGCAUUCACAGUCAUUAUAUGUAGGUAAUAUGCAUAUAGAUAUGCCAUAAUGCAAUCUAACACUCAACCAUAUCCUAGUAUCUUAGACUAUAUAAAUAUAUGUAUGACAUUGCAUAAAUAUACAUAAAUCAAAUUAAAAGCGUUUGCAGAAUUAUCAAUCAUAUAUAUAUAUACGAUAAAAGGAAAAGACCCACUCACCUCAGGUCCGUGCUAUGACUCCCUAGCACGAAUAUCAAGACAUCACGAAUCAUCGUCGCCUAGAACAAUUAUCAAAUCACGUCUCAGAGUUUAUAACAAUAGAACACAUAAUUUAUGUAAAACACAUCCCUACGUAAUUCAAUCCGGAAGAUCCGCAACACUCAAAUCCGAGAAAGGCUCCAAUUUCACUCAAACCCGCCGGAACCCUAAAAUGGGUGAACUUCGAUUCUCCUUCCUCAGUGUUCCAACGCCCCUACAACCAGUUGGGUCUUGUUCCUGGGUCCAAGGGGAGUUAGUUAAGGGUGGUGGUGGGUGGUGAAACUCGCCAGAUUGAAGGAAUCAUCGUCGAAACCUCACGGGUCACCCCCACGGUUUUACACGGUUUUGGCCUAAAAAAUCUUCAAAUUUAGAUGGAGAUAGAAGAUGGGGUAUUGUGGAAUAGGUUGCAGGUGAGGGACGGGUCAAAAUCACCUGAAAAUUGGUGGAAAUGGCCGGAAUCAGAACCGGGUCGCCG
rnacentral:lncRNA from 1 species